GACAGAGGGGGCAAGCGUUGCUCGGAAUUACUGGGCGUAAAGGGCGCGUAGGCGGCUUUGCAAGUCGGGUGUGAAAUCCCCAGGCUUAACCUGGGAACUGCAUUCGAGACUGCAUUGCUAGAGUAUGGGAGAGGGAAGUGGAAUUUCCGGUGUAGCGGUGAAAUGCGUAGAUAUCGGAAGGAACAUCAGUGGCGAAAGCGACUUCCUGGACCAAUACUGACGCUCAUGUGCGAAAGCGUGGGGAGCAAACAGG
rnacentral:rRNA from 1 species